rnacentral:rRNA from 1 species
GCAGAAUUCCGCGAAUCAUCGAGNCUUUGAACGCAAGUUGCGCCCGAGGCUUGUCCAAGGGCAUUUCCGCUAGAGCGUCACC